rnacentral:tRNA from 1 species
GGACCUAUGAUGUAAUGGUUAGCAUCUAUGACUUUUAAUCAUAUCGUCAGAGUUCAAAUCUCUGUGGGUCCACCA